rnacentral:rRNA from 1 species
CCUACGGGAGGCAGCAGUGAGGAAUAUUGGUCAAUGGACGCAAGUCUGAACCAGCCAUGCCGCGUGCAGGAAGACGGCCCUAUGAGUUGUAAACUGCUUUUGUACGAGGGUAAACUCAGAUACGCGUAUCUGUCUGCAAGUAUCGUACGAAUACGGAUCGGCUCACUCCGUGCCAGCAGCCGCGGUAAUACGGAGGAUUCAAGCGUUAUCCGGAUUUAUUGGGUUUAAAGGGUGCGUAGGCGGUCGGAUAAGUUAGAGGUGAAAUCCCGAGGCUCAACUUCGGAAUUGCCUCUGAUACUGUUCGGCUAGGGAGGAGGUGGGGUAGGGGGAAUGUAUGGUGUAGCGGUGAAAUGCUUAGAGAUCAAACAGGACACCGAUUGCGAAGGCAGCUUACCAAGGUACUUCUGACGUUGAGGCACGAAAGCGUGGGGAGCAAACAGGAUUAGAUACCCCAGUAGUCC